rnacentral:tRNA from 1 species
GGAGGGGUGUCCGAGCGGUUGAAGGAGGCGGUCUUGAAAACCGUUGAACCCUUGCGGGUUCCGUGGGUUCGAAUCCCACUCCCUCCG